GAUGAACGCUGGCGGCGUGCCUAAUACAUGCAAGUCGAGCGAACAGAUGAGGAGCUUGCUCCUCUGACGUUAGCGGCGGACGGGUGAGUAACACGUGGAUAACCUACCUAUAAGACUGGGAUAACUUCGGGAAACCGGAGCUAAUACCGGAUAAUAUAUUGAACCGCAUGGUUCAAUAGUGAAAGACGGUUUUGCUGUCACUUAUAGAUGGAUCCGCGCCGCAUUAGCUAGUUGGUAAGGUAACGGCUUACCAAGGCAACGAUGCGUAGCCGACCUGAGAGGGUGAUCGGCCACACUGGAACUGAGACACGGUCCAGACUCCUACGGGAGGCAGCAGUAGGGAAUCUUCCGCAAUGGGCGAAAGCCUGACGGAGCAACGCCGCGUGAGUGAUGAAGGUCUUCGGAUCGUAAAACUCUGUUAAUAGGGAAGAACAAAUGUGUAAGUAACUAUGCACGUCUUGACGGUACCUAAUCAGAAAGCCACGGCGAACUACGU
rnacentral:rRNA from 1 species